rnacentral:rRNA from 1 species
GAGUGAUGAAGGUUUCGGUCGUAAAGCUCUGUUGUUAGGGAAGAACAAGUGCCGUUCAAAUAGGGCGGCCCUUGACGGUACCUACCAGAAAGCCACGGCUAACUACGUGCCAGCAGCCGCGGUAAUACGUAGGUGGCAAGCGUUGUCCGGAAUUAUUGGGCGUAAAGGGCUCGCAGGCGGUUUCUUAAGUCUGAUGUGAAAGCCCCCGGCUCAACCGGGGAGGGUCAUUGGAAACUGGGGAACUUGAGUGCAGAAAGGAGAGUGGAAUUCCACGUGUAGCGGGAAAUGCGUAGAGAUGUGGAGGAACCCCAGGGG